rnacentral:rRNA from 1 species
GUUAGGAAUAUUGGACAAUGGGCGCAAGCCUGAUCCAGCCAUGCCGCGUGAGUGAUGAAGGCCUUCGGGUUGUAAAGCUCUUUAGUCCACGAAUAUAAUGACUGUAGUGGAAGAAUAAGCCCCGGCUAACUUCGUGCCAGCAGCCGCGGUAAUACGAAGGGGGCGAGCGUUAUUCGGAAUCACUGGGCGUAAAGCGUGCGUAGGCUGUUUUGUAAGUCAGAAGUGAAAGCCCAGGGCUUAACCCUGGAAUUGCUUUUGAAACUACAAGACUCGAAUUCGGGAGAGGAUAGCGGAAUUGUCAGUGUAGCAGUGAAAUGCGUAGAUAUUGACAGGAACACCAGUGGCGCAAGCGGCUAUCUGGACCGAUAUAGACGCUGAGGCACGAAAGCGUGGGGAGCAAACAGGAUUAGAUAACCGAGUAGUCC